rnacentral:rRNA from 1 species
UACGUAGGGGUGCAAGCGUUGUCCGGAAUUAUUGGGCGUAAAGGGGCUCGUAGGCGGUCCAUCGCGUCGGGAGUGAAAAAGCCUGGGGGCUUAACCCCCAGGUCCUGCUUUCGAUACGGGUGGACUAGAGGUAGGCAGGGGGAGAACGGAAUUCCUGGUGUAGCGGUGAAAUGCGCAGAUAUCAGGAGGAACACCAGCGGCGAAGGCGGUGCUCUGGGCCGGAACUGACACUGAGGAGCGAAAGCGUGGGUAGCAAACAGG